rnacentral:tRNA from 1 species
GGAGAGAUGCCUGAGUGGUUUAAGGGGACGGUCUUGAAAACCGUUGAGCCUUAACGGGUUCCGUGAGUUCGAAUCUCACUCUCUCCG